AAUUGCAGAGUUCACUCACCAUGCUGACGCUUUUGAUGGAAUCAGGCAACCUUAUUGACCUGGUGCCAUAAGACAUAUGAGAUGAUUGCCCUCCUGAGAACAUCUAACUGCCACUCCAGAAUGAGAUGAGUAAGUUCUAUCCUGUGAAACAGAGAAAGGGGUCAGAAGGACGCUGAGGAAAAGUGGCUUGGAUCCUCUGAUGGCCUUUGGUUACAUAAGAACCCGUGUGAUUCUCGUAUGGAGCAUCUCAGACAGCACUACAGCUCAGGCAGGUAAUCUGUCUGCCUUGUAGCUUGC